rnacentral:rRNA from 1 species
CCUGGCUCAGAUGAACGCUAGCGGGAUGCUACACAUGCAAGUCGAACGACCUUCGGGGGAGUGGCAAACGGGCGAGUAACGCGUACUUAACCUACCCAGAAGUUGGGAACAACUACGGAGACGUAGCUAAUUCCCAAUGUUCCCUGCACUAUGAAAAAAUGCAGGGCAAAGAUUUAUCGCUUUUGGAGGGGGGUGCGUCCUAUCAGGUAGUUGGUGUGGUAAUAGCUCACCAAGCCUAUGACGGGUAGCCGGUCUGAGAGGAUGUCCGGCCGCAAUGGAACUGAGACACGGUCCAUACUCCUACGGGAGGCAGCAGUGGGGAAUCUUGCGCAAUGGGCGAAAGCCUGACGCAGCAAUCCCGCGUGAAGGAUGAAGCAUUAUGGUGUGUAAACUUCUUUUCUGGUGGAAGACGAAUGACGGUACACCAGGAAUAAGGGACGGCUAACUACGUGCCAGCAGCCGCGGUAAUACGUAGGUCCCAAGUGUUAUCCGGAAUUACUGGGCGUAAAGAGUCUGUAGCCGGGUUUGUAAGUCUGUUUUCAAAUCCUAUGGCUUAACCAUAGAGAGGGAAUGGAUACUGCAAACCUUGAGAUUAUUGGGGGUUGAUGGAAUUUCCGGUGGAGCGGUGAAAUGCGUUGAUAUCGGAAGGAACGCCAAAAGUGAAAGCAGUCAACUACAAUAAAUCUGACGGUCAGAGACGAAAGCUUGGGGAGCAAACGGGAUUAGAUACCCCGGUAGUCCAAGCCGUAAAUUAUGCAUGCUAGGUGUCUUGUUCACUUUAUGUGAGCGGGGUGCCGUAAUCUAACGAGUUAAGCAUGCCGCCUGGGUAGUAUAUUCGCAAGAAUGACACUCCAAAGGGAUAGGCCGCGGAACACACAAGCAGUGGCAUUGUCUCGAUUACUUGGAUCAUAAGCCAAGAAUCUUACCUAGACUUGAC